rnacentral:tRNA from 1 species
GCGGAGGCUUGGCAGAGUGGUCGAAUGCACCGGUCUUGAAAACCGACGAGGGUGAAAGUCCUCCCAGGGUUCGAAUCCCUGAGCCUCCGCCAC